CAGGGUACGAAGUGCAAUGGAAGUCAUCACCUCAAGUUGAGCUAUUUGGUGUGGCUGCAACAAGGUACCCUGGGGUACCUGUUGUUGUUGAGGCCAUUGACCCAGUUGUUGUUGUUGAGGUUGUUGGAAAGAACACUGUCCGAGCUGCUUCUGUUGUUGUUGGGGUUGGGAGACACCUUGGACCGACUGUUGGGGUUGUUGCUGCUGAGGUUGGUUCAAACCCUGACCAUGUUGUUGUUCUUGUAGGACGAUCGAGUAGAUGAUGGCACGGAUUGCAUCGUAGCGUGAUUGUUCGGGGAUUUGCGGCAGCUGCCGGCAACAUUGUUGCUGCAUCACAUGGCAACUACUCUGCCACAACAUUUGCGACCUAGCAAGACUUUGUGGCAUUGCCACAGGGCUGCAUUGCUGCUGGAGGAAUACCUUGCAUGGGUUUAGCUGCUGCAAGAUAGAUGGCUGAACAGAUGGUAUUUGUUGUUGCGGUAGAACUGGUUGUUGGUGUUGUGAAAAUGGUGGUUGUUGCAGUAGAAUUGGUUGUUGUUGUUGCUGCGAAAAUGGUGGUUGUUGCUGCUGCUGAGAAAAUGGUGGUUGUUGCUGCGAAAAUGGUGGUUGUUGCGGUAAAAGUGGUUGUUGUUGCUGCGGAAAUUGUUGUUGUUGCUGCGAAAAUGGUGGUUGUUGCGGUAGAAUGGGUUGUUGUUGCUGCGAAAAUGGUGGUUGUUGUUGUGAAAAUGGUGGUUGUUGUUGCUGCGAUAAUGGUGGUUGUUGUUGCUGUGAACAUGGUGGCUGUUGUGGAAAUGGUUGUGGUUGUUGUUGGAUGGGUUGUUGUUGUUGGUACCAUAAUAUUUGUUGUAGUGGUAAUGGUUGUUGUUGCAAUGGUUUCUCCAAGCUAGGGAUGUGGCUAGUCUCCAUUUGUGCAAUGGCACUUGUCGCCGCAACGGCGAGGAGGGCAAAGAUGAGGAAGGUCUUCAUGGUGGAUUGGUGUUAAAUAGUGUUGCUUGGUUUUGAUGCUUGUGCUUGUGAUGAUCAUUAUACUUCAUGCCUAUUUAUAGUAGCCCGUGCACCAUCUCUUUCCUUCUUUGCAUCAGCUUUAAUAAUUGUGUUUGGAUGUUUCUGAAAUGGAUUUUUGGUACAUUAUGGUAGGUUGCACUAGCUAUAAGCGUACUUUUGGAUUGAUCAUCAAAGUUGCUUUUUGGUUGUGCAUAUGAUUAUACACAAAGUACAUGAUGUUUGAAGUAGAUGACUUGCCUUAUUCACUUUACAUGUCACGCAUUUAUCAGGAUAGUAUCACUUCUACACCCGAUUUGGGAAAAAGUACAUAAUCUUUGCUAUAGAUAACUUGCCUUAUUCGCUUUACAUGUCAUGCACUUAUCAGGAUAUUAUCACUUUUACACCCGAUUUUGGAACCUUGUAUAGGGUGUCAGCCUUAAACAAGAAAAGGAAAAACUUGUGUAGGACUAAGUUGCAAUCAUGUGUGGGUUGUUAGGAUAUGCUCCAUUAUUAAAGCCUUACAUGUGGAGGGUUCUUCUAGACUCGAUUGUUUUUUAUAGAACUAACUAUGUAUUGUCCUUUAAGAUGAUAAGAUAAACUGACACCUAUAGAGCAUGACAUGACUCAUCGAAUUCCCUUUACAUGUAAAGGAUUGUAAUUGCUUACAAGUCACUAACAUAUAUCCGGUCCUAACUCUAGACACAUCAUCAUUAGUUUGAUCUUUGUGUUAAGGAUUUUUAUUUGAUCAGAUCAUUCUUUUGGCGGACUAAGUUUGCAAUAUUGUGUAAAUAUUUCACGGGGUGCACCUGGUCUCUUUUACUAAAUCUUUGGGGCAGGAGGUUGAUAUUUAUUUGAAUUGUGUAGAACAUUUACAUAGGUAACCUACUAGAAUUAUUAUAUGUUCAUUAUACUAUGACGACAAACAUAUAUAGUUUGGUUUACUGUGGUUCAUGUUUAGGUGUAUAAGAAUGAAUUUAUGUAUAUCGAGGUACUUUAUCAACCCAAAAUGAAAAAUGCCAAACAUUUUAACAUUUUUCAUCAACAAACCUUUAGAACCCCUAUUCGCGGCUAUCCUCCUAGAUCAUGGACAACCAGCAUAUUUCAUUUGUAGGAUUUUGACAAGGUCUUGAUUCUCUCCCACAUAAAAUGUUCUAGAUUGUUUCAUGGCAACUUGUUUGUGCCCGGAUAUUUUCAAUCUUCUUAUCUAGGCCAUACAUAUGUUUUUCUGUCAUUAAUCUAUUAACUGCUGAAUGAAGAGGUCCCAAAUGAUAAAGAAAAACUAUGUUAGGAGUAUGGGCAUCUCCACCACUUGUUUCAAUAAAACCAGAGGAUUUUAUGAUUAUGAAUUUGGUUCGAAAUAUGUUAAUGAUAUGUGCACUCGAUCUGAGCCAAUAUCCGAUGAAUUGAAAAGUGUUAAAUGGCCCAUGGAUAAAUUUAUAUUUGUUCACAAGUAUCAGAAAUCUGGAAUGGUGACACUACAUAUUCAAUUCAAAUUUGAAAAUACAUCUGAUCCCAGCUACGGAGGUCGCCAUGUGCCUCAAAGGAGUCUCCAUCGCAACUCUGGUCGUCUGCAAUUACACUAGAUGGCAGGCUAGUCUGUCAUCCAUCGUGGGAAUCCGCCGACAGGGCAGGUCAGAGGUCCUGUGGUUGCAACUAGCAGGUUAUUCAUCCAAUCUAUGUCCGUCAGUUAGUGCUCGAUCCUGCAGUAAAUGGUACUUGUAUGGAUAUAUAGUUGCAGAGAGGAAUUUCUUUGACUAGUGUUCGAUCUGAUUGCUAGCUGGAUUGGUGGAGAAAUUGCUACUUCCUCGUGCUAGGGCAGCAGUGGACAAUUAGUACAGACAGACCUGGCAAAAAAAUCCAAUGCGUAUAUUAAGUGGAGAUAGUACUAGAUCUGAUGUCUGCAGGAGAUACUAGUAGAUGUUAUACUGCACACUGGCACAGUAUGAGGUCAUUAUGUUGUUCUGUACAAAGUCUGUCACUUAGAUGUACAUAUAUGAGUGACAACCGCAUAUAUAUUUCUUGCAAAAUCCAUGCUUCCUUGCAGGUGGAAGGCCCUCAUGGUGCCCCCGAGACAGAGCCUGUUCCCUAUUUGGUACGGUGAGUAUUGAAUCGAAACGCAAAAUAUGCACUUAUUGAUUUGUCGAUCUCACAUUAUAUGCAUCUGAUAGGAGAGGUUAUCGUCAGAGGUUGUGGAACAAUCUGAAGGACACUUGUGGUUAAGCAGCAGCAUCAGGUGAGGUGUUCAUGUCAGUCAGUUGGUGGUCAGACUGGCACUUGUUUAAUUUGGAUGGUACAAUUUUCUAUUCACAUUGGUAAAUGCCAAUGGACAAUGACCAGCUUGGAUUCGCAUGUUGAAUUUGGAUGAUACAGGUGAGGAAGAAACUAAAAAAACACUAGUUAUGUGGUCACCUGGAACUCCAGAGUGUUUCUUGGUGCCAUAUAGUCUUGCUUUGCUGCAGUUAUAGACUUUAUAAAUGCCCUGAGCUAUUUUGGCAGCAUCGGUGUCGUUUCAUUGUUGUUUUAGCAGGGGCUUUUGAUAAAAAGAGAAGUGAAAAGAAAAAUAUUACGCACGCCUAGGUUAUGUCAUGAUUGUUAUCGGCUUUGUCGAACUUUGACCUCUGUCUUCUUCAGAUAACUGUAAUGUGAAUUAAUAAUCUCCUUCCACAUUUCCUAGGAUUAUAGAAGUUGGUAUGUUGUCGCAGCUGUGAAGUACUUAUCUUACCAAUUAUAGUGUCGUUACUUAGUUGAGGUGACAAUGUUGGAAUUAUGUGUCCUGCAACUAUAUUCAAAUUACUUGGAAUUGUUAAUAUUCGAAUUGCCUCAUUAUGAAAUUAUACAUGUAUUUAUACAUGGAAUUGCUUUACAUGUUUAGCAUGGAAUUGUUACUUGCUGGAAUGUACUUAAGUAAUAUAUGCUUAAGGAAGCUGGUCAAUUCUCAGUAGAAUAUAAUAUUACUAUUUAUAUUGAAAAUACUACCCGGGAACGCUGAUGAUUUGAAGGAGCUAGAUAGUGUAGUUAGAUUAUAGUCCUAAUGUUGAUCUACAUAAUUAGAGGAAUUUACAUUCUAUUAUGAUGUGUUGCUCACAAGCGCGUGCUCCAGGGACAUAACGGAUAGAAUCUGUUAACAAACAAAUACGAUCGUGGUUGGUAAUUUGAUUUAGACUCUAUCCAGGAAACUAGUUGUAACGACUAGGAAUCUUAUAUGUAUAAGAGGUGGACUCUUUGAAAAGACAGUACAAGAAGGUGCCAUCUCUAGUCCAGAUAUGCGAAUUGUGAGCGGCGCCAUGGAUAAAUAGACCACAAACCCUAAAUUUCUAACAGACAAGACGUUGAAAUUUUAUCUUGUGUUCGGAUAGCAUUAUUUGAAACCGUGAGUUGUCUGUUUCUGUACUGAUGGCACCCCAAAAGUGCUGGUUACUGGGGAGGUGUAUGCGGCAUGCCGAAUCAUUCUUCCUCGGGAGGCCCUAAAGCUUCAACUUGUUGAGAAACUGUCUGCACUCUGCAGUUUGGAACCUUACGGAAGGAUGCUGUGAAUUUCAUGGAUAGUGGGCUUCCCUGAUGGCUGCUCUGCUACUGCUAGCUUACGGAAUGGCUUCUACAACUGAACUGUACUGCAGUCGCUCUUGACUGAGAAUUGUUGGGGCCCGCGGUGUAGGGUGACUGCUUGGCGUUGAGUUGAGCUGCAACGCUGAAUCAAACCCUGGACGACACAAACGAUCUGAUCUAGAUUUGGUUUGAUGCUCGUCCUUUGGGUUGGUACCCAUGACAGGCACGGGUCGCCAGCAGUUUACUAUCAUCCAUGGUUCUUUAGCCCUGUGGUGUUCUACUUAUCUGAAAAACUUCUUGUUUUUGAAAUGUCAACUGGGGUAUAUAUAUUUUUCAAAAACAGGAAGUCAUCAGUUUGUGAUCAUACAGCAGAGGUGAAGAGAGGGGCAGAGGGCCAGGCAGUUACACAUAGAUUACAAUAUACAGACAGCAGCCAGGCGGGGUGUCAGCGAGCAGGGUUGCUAGAAUGAGCUGAAUUGCCUCUUUUUUCUACCGAACCUGAAGAUUUGUGCCUAACAUUGAAAAGGUUCCAUAUGACGAUGCAAUCCAAAUUGCCUUUUCGAUCGACUACUCUCAUAUGUAGUAGGUUAUACCAAUGACAACAACAGCAGAUUUAUAUCCCACAAAAAACAUGCAGCAGCAGUGCAGCUGAAGCUAAAAUAUAUAUGUUGGUUACUGAAGCUAAGUCGUAAGCACUUUUCACGGUGAUGAUCCAGGCUUUUCCUUGUUUCCACAUAAUUACCUGAGUUCAAUGAUCUGCAUUUCUCAGGUAUCGCUUGUUUCAUACAUCGAAUGCUAUUUAUCGGCCUAUCCAUGCAAUUUGAAAAUUCACUGCUGAAUGUCGGUUGUGUUCUGCGAAUAAGUGAAUGGUGGUGGUUAUUUGAAACCUAUGCCCAAUUGUGGUGGUUACUUGCAAUAUACUCCUAGAGCUUAAAGCACACGUUUUGGGCAGUAAGUCAGAUAUAUGCAUUAUAGUUUCUUUCUUGAAAGCUAUGUGUUAUGUGACACUGAUCAGACUACUAGUUCUGGAAACAAAUACAUGUGCAGAUGCCAUGCCAGCUUAUGCAAGUUGGUUAACAUUUUUGAAAAAUGAGUGGCUGUGUGCAUCACACAUAGGCCUGGAUUUAACCUCCUUUCCCGGGGGAAAAGGCAAGUUACUUAAUAGUUACAAUCAGGUUAAGUAACUGAAGAAAUUAAGCAGUUGACCCAAAUGCAGCUUUCAGGCUGCCCCAAGCAACAUUAAACUGGGCUUGUGUAAAAUAUUAGUGCAGUUUAUGGUCAGAUGGCCUUGUCGAGAUCGAUGAUGGAUAUUUUAUUUUGGUUGUAUGUUUCGAUCUAAUCCAUAACUGAUGAUACUACAUGCAACUAGGACACGAGUGAAUAAUCUACUUAAGAGCUGCAUCAUGAAGGGAAAACAAGUAAGCUAAGUACAUGGAUUAGAGCAUCUGCACACAUCUCAAGUGGUUGACUUAAGACUGAUUAACAAGCUUAUGUUGUUUCUUACUGAAGCUAGAGCAGACUUGUAUUUCAAGGAAGCGAGAAUGUAUAUAAGUCUUGCUCACGUCUCCUUCCCCUCUCUUGUACCUAUAACUAUCUAUCUCUCCAUUACCAGAUCAUCAGUAUUUACUUGUAUGACGGCAAAAAAUAAUAACAAGAAAAAUUUCACUGCAGAACCUCCUUCAGGCACAAAAUAAUGACCCGAGGAAUAACAAAGUUGGUUUCAAUGAAAGUAAUUAUCGAAGGAGGUUUCAAUACCCAAUGAAUUUAUGUAUGAUUGACUAAUGGUCCUACCUUUUCCAUAAUAUGUUGCUGGUUUUCCUUGAUAAUUGUUUGGAAAGCGUUGAAUUUAGCAUGUUUUAAUCACAAGUGGCCUUCUGAUCCGUCUGUUAUCAUGUUUAGGGUAGCUUACUGGAAUAAUGAUUGGAGUUCCCUGUAGGUGAUGGAGGACGCAAAACGAGCGCUACGACGGGACGCAGGACUUCUGGAAUGAGUCACAACUAAAGUUUUUCAAGCCAGAAAAAGCUUGGUGCCAUGGAUUCCCCGGCUGGAAGAUGGGACUUGAAUUUGGGAUUGUGUCUAUUCCAUUAGUGGUGUUGUCCUGGUUAAUAGCUGGGUGUUGGCAUCGGCAUGUUCAUUGUAAAACACUGUGUAUUUUCGUGUCUUCGUUGUGUUGGUUGUUCCCCUACUCUGUUGCUCAGCUAGGGUUGCAAGGAGGGAUGCCUUAAAAACUUAAUUCCGUGUCCGUGUUGUGUUGGUGGUGGUUGCGUUUUGGUUGUAAAAACCACUUGGUUUCAUUAAUGAAACUGAUAAAAAAAAGUAAGCAUAAACCUUUCAGUGGAAUAUCCAAAAAAGUCCAGGCCAACUGUUUUGAGAGAACAUUUUGCAAUAAGAAAAUUUAGUAGCUACAAUCAGAAUAGAAAUGUUCUUAUCUGAUUCACAUGUUAUCCAUUUGUUCUCUUGUGUUUAAGUGAGUAAUUGCACCAAUUUCGAACAUACAAUAGGUCGUCAAUGUAGCUCAUAUGAAGUGUGCAAUAAGUAAUGAUCCGUGGUAUGGGAGUAUACUCUUCAUAUUCACAUUGACUACACAAACCAAACUUUAUUAUCAGAUCCACACUGACAAGAUAUGAUCCCAAACACACAACCAAACAUAUAUCAUAACUAUAACAAACAAAUGGACAUGGAUUUUUGAAUUAAUAGAAUAUCCCAGGCUAAAAAUCCACAGAUUACUUGAAAAGGAAAAAAUUGACAAAGCUUGUACAGUUCCUUUCAUAGCUACCCGUAUAUGGGUAGCUACAGCCCACCUAGUUUUUGAACAUAUUAUUGGAUGGUGGCGCCAGAUGUAGUGUCCUGCAAAAAAAAGGUAUAAUCAACAUGGCUACAUACCAAGAAACCAAUCAUUAAGGUACUGAUGGAAAUUUGUCAGGAAAAUGUAACAAUCAUAAUGCCAGAUGACUAAAACUAGCUUUGAAAUUUAUAGGCUUAUUUGUUACAUAACCUUAACUACGUCCAAUUGUCAAUACCAUGACGUUUAAAUUUCUUUCAGCUGGACAAGAUAUACAUGCUAGAAACACGAAGAAAAAUAUAUACAGAUUAAGUAGUUGAAUGUAUGUACUUACAGAAGCUUUGACGUAGAAUGCAUGGAUAUUGAGUUCUUUAAUAGUUUGGAACGUAGGGGGGUUGGUGAGUGCGUAAUACUUGAUGAUCCCACGUGCCAUAGCAAACUCUCCAGUCCCACCCAUAAUGGCCAUCUGGCCUUGGCCUGUUUGAAAAUUGAUCCCCAUCGCUUCGAAUGAUGAUCCAUUGUACCUGAUAUAGUUUUAUAGGGCAAUAUCACAUAUCAUAUGAAACUGGAAAAUCUUUAGUAUUUGAGAUCUUUGUAACAAACCAUAUAUGCUAUAUAACCGGGAAAACUAAAACUUGUACUAGUCCAAAAGUAUAUAAAAAUGACCUAGAGUUCUUCUCGAACACCAUGCUGAAGUAGUUGAACCAGCCUGGACCGGCUACAUCAGCCUGCACUUGCAUGCCUUUGGUACGGGCAACAAUGGUGGCAGUAGCGGGGUUUGGUCCAUCAAUCACAGUCCAGUCGGUAACUGCAGUUAGACCAAACUCUGAUGGUUUGCUGGAGGUAACAAUUGCUACCUGGUUGAUGCCUGGUCCGGCGGCGAUUUGGUGCAAGUACAAGCGCAUGUUAACCUCGGACUCACACUGAAGAACACAGGAUAGGGAUGCAGAUGCCAUGGAUAGAAUGGAAUGCAGGAUUAGGAUCAUGGACAGGACUAAAAGGCUAGGGCUAGCCAUUUCUAGCUAGGAUUUUGGCUGGCUGAAGAAGAUGGUAGCUAGGAGGUGUGUCCGUAAACUGACUCUUUCCUUUGUCGAGUGUGUUAGCUGUGUGAGAGACACUUGAGUCUAGGGUACUAUUUGUAGUGCUCCAGAACUAGCUAGCAUAUUCGUUCCAUAUCCUCUUUUUUCAUUUCUCUUUGGGAUGAUCCAUUUCAUAUCCUUUUUAGUUUCUUUUUUUUUCAACUGUCAUUUCAGUUAGGAUAGACAACUACACAUGUGUGACUGAUUCCUUGUACAUCUAUCAACCCUCGGAGAUCACAAAGGUCAAGUGCCUUUUGAGGAACUACCCUUUUUUCCUUGAAAUACAAUGUGUACAUGGUAAUGCAGCAUUGACAAAGACUAAAAUGAAUUAGACGCCCAUUCUUAUCUUUACAUCUAAUUGUAUCUCCGGAUGAGCAGCAGCCUAGAUUUUCCACCUGGACAACGAGCACACUGUCACUACUCCUACAAUACAAAGUUCAAAUACAAGGAUUCAUCGCCGUUGAAUCUGUGAAUCGAUGCGCCGCUCCCCCGCUCCCCCGCUGGGGAAUCGGGUAAAAGGCCGCUCCCCCGCUCCCUAGGGUUUCCCCGCCGCCGCCGGCGGCUCCCCCGCGCGGAGCCGCCGCCGCGGCGGCCGGAGACCGCCGGAGCCGCCAGCCCCCUCCUCUCCCCGUUCCCCUUCUCCUCCCCCCACCCCUCCUCCGCGCCCCCGUACCCCCGCGCCGCCUCCCCGAGCGAGGCGGCCGGGGGCCCUUCCUCCGUGCGCCUCCAGCCCCUCCCCACGCCCAUCCCUCCUCCCGCCGCCGUCAGCCUACGCCGCCGGUCCUCAGCCGCGUGAUGCUGGCGGCGGUGGGCUUGCCCUUCCCCGCUCGCGGUCCUCCCCUGCUCGGGCGAUGAUGGCCGGAGGCGGUGCGCCUUGGCCGGUGGUGGUCCGGCGUCCUUGUUGGAGGCCGGCGGUGCUCGCCGUGGUGGUGCCGCCUCUUGGCGGCGGGGUGGUCCGGUGGUGCUGGCCGGCUGGGGGCGUGUCCCCGGCCCAGAUCUGGGCCCGUAGGGUCCCUUCCGGGUCCUUGCGGGUUGGCUCCGGCGCGACCGUGACGCUCUCUGUAUGGGGAGGCAGGGGAGCGGCUUGGAUUGGGACAGCGACACAGAUGGUGUUCCAGCUGCUGCGCGGAGGCGGGAGCUGUCCGGGCCUUUGACGGCCCGGCCGGGCCUAUGGGGCCACGGGCCCGGUAGGCUCCUGCCAUGGCGUCCGGUCGGCUACCGUCGUGGACGGUGGAGGUGGGGCCCUCCCGUAUGCCAACGGUGUUGUUGCCCUAGUCCCGGCUCCUCUUCUCCGUUGUGCAGACCAUCUUCGUGGUGCCGUGGUGAGACAGCGUGGGAAGCUUCAUGUCCGUGUUGGCGCAGGGUGGUGGCCGGUCUGGUGGCGAGCUCCGGAGUGCCUGAGGUAGAGGCUGGGAUCGGGAGAAAUCUCUGUUGGCUUGGUCAACACCGACGUGGUGGCGUCUGAGGGUGCCGCCGGACCUUCCUUGAGGGCGUCGGGGCUACCCUUCCUCUCUCCUCGUCGUGUACCGGGGGAAACCCUUGGCAGCAGCGUCGUCAUCGUCGCGUCCCUUCUUGGAGGUGUUGUUGGGUACCGGCACUUCGGAGUCUCGGAGCUUGGUGGGCGAUCUCCGGUGGGCGCAGCGGUCACGAGGCUUCGUCGUUUUUGUCGAUCCACCAUUAUCGGCAUUUGUUUCUUUUCUUUUUUCUCUUUCCAUUCUUUUGGGCAUGUUUGUGCUGCUUCCGCCCCAGCCCCUAUCGUCGGUUGUAUUGGUUGAUUGCUUUGUAAUACAAAGCGGGGGGAAACCCCUUUUCUCAAAUCCAAGGAUUCGUGCUGCUUGUAAGUUAGAUACAUAGUUCAUCAAAUGACAUUUAAUUAUCUGGCUCAGUUUAUAGCUGCGAUUGGAGAUGCAACCCCCCACCCAUGGAACCCAGGUCAAAAGCUUUCCUUUCACCUCUUCUUUCCGCCGCCACCGACGUCGCUGCUCUUGUUGGGGCAGACUUGAUGCCAAAGACAGGAGGAAGCGGCCUUGGCAACAUCGCUGGUCUUGUUGAGGCAGCCUUGAUGCCAAAGACAGGAGGAAGCCGCCACACAACACUUCAGUUUGGUGGUGCUCUUCAAAUACCGGAUCUCGAUUUCCAGAGGGGAAACUCUAGCUCAGGCCUUCAUUCACUGUACGUUGGAAUGGCGAUGUUUCGACAUUGUUCCCUUGUUGAAGACAUUGUCUUGAGAUUGCUCGGAAGUCCUAUUCAGGGUGAAAACUCAUGAUCUAGCCUCUAUUAGAUUGGUGACAACAGUGAUCAUCCCUUUCCUAGAGGUGUCGUUGUUGGAGAUCCUUUCUCAUAGUUCGGGUAGUUCCAUUAGCGCAGGUUGGUGUUGGCCACUGAUGCAUGCCAUUGAUUGCUUCAACAUGAAUUUUGUAUGUCCUGUCUUUUUUUAAUAAUUUGGAUGUGUGCAACCCUGAUGGCUGGAUUAGCACAUUGCUUCUUGUAGAGGCUGCAGGGUGGAUGGGAGUGGGGCCGGGGGCAGUGGUGCCGACCGAAAACUAGCAAAUUUACUAUCAUCUUGAUUAACAUAUUUUUAGCGGUUUGUUCCUUGCAAAAAAAGACUAUCAAUGUAUCAAUUAUGCAAGCUAGUUUAAGACCAUUCACAAAUUAUUAUCAAAUGGUUCUAUUAAUGUCAACUGCAUUCAGGAGUCAUGCAUGACGUCAACCAUGUCAAAUUAUUGAAGGUUUAACCUCUGGCUUAGAAACAAAACUUAUGCGUACCAUAGGCCUGCAAAAAUUAAACCACUGUACAUGACAACCACACAAAUAUAAUACCUAGUGGGCAACCUCCGUACGACAACCACAGAAAUAUAAUACUUUUGACAAGUUUAUCAAUGCUACUUGCGUGUUGUCUAAUAAGUAGUGACCUUCAUAAGGAAUUGCGUCGAUCCAAGGAUAACAUCUUAAUUAGCAUACUACUAAGAUUCGAAGACAUAUACUCUUGAAAGUCAGUUGUGCCAUUAGUCAGAUGUGUAUACAGUAUACAAUCCAAUUGUAUGUAUAUGUAUGUCAGUAUGUGUGCUCAUCAACGGUUCACCAUGUUUUGAAGCAACCCAGUCAUCAGUAUGACCGAGUGUUCAGAUAUAUCCAGUAUACAUGCAUUCACGAGUGCUCUUAUUGCUUGUGUGUAACCCAUGUGGUGUGUUUGUUGAUGUAACUUCAUCAAAUAUGCAUCUAUAAUUGAAGGGAGAACCUAUCCUUCAAUUAUGGAUUAGUCGAUUUUCCUAGCCUACUGUUUAUCUUUUUCGCCCACCCUUCUCCACUUCUUUGACCCGUUCCCAACCGUCUGCCAAGCCGUCUGCUAUCUGUGGUGCCGCCAGCCACGCCGUCCGCCGUCGGUGGUGCUUCCGCGUGUGCCCCGGAGCCCUGCCCUGCUCAGUUUGAGCCGCCAUCUCUGCCAUCCCUCUGCACCCUGGCCAUCCCUACAAACCUCCCCACAGUCCCUGGNNNNNNNNNNNNNNNNNNNNNNNNNNNNNNNNNNNNNNNNNNNNNNNNNNNNNNNNNNNNNNNNNNNNNNNNNNNNNNNNNNNNNNNNNNNNNNNNNNNNNNNNNNNNNNNNNNNNNNNNNNNNNNNNNNNNNNNNNNNNNNNNNNNNNNNNNNNNNNNNNNNNNNNNNNNNNNNNNNNNNNNNNNNNNNNNNNNNNNNNNNNNNNNNNNNNNNNNNNNNNNNNNNNNNNNNNNNNNNNNNNNNNNNNNNNNNNNNNNNNNNNNNNNNNNNNNNNNNNNNNNNNNNNNNNNNNNNNNNNNNNNNNNNNNNNNNNNNNNNNNNNNNNNNNNNNNNNNNNNNNNNNNNNNNNNNNNNNNNNNNNNNNNAACCUGUCAAGCCAUUUUCCUCUCCUCCGUCUGCGACCGUGCGGCUAGUCACGACAUCCCGUCUCGUGCUCGAUGUUGCGGUGUGUUGCUCUCUGCAAACCGAGUUGGAUGACGCGAGGAAAAGAAUCAAGACUGAGUAAUAGAAAUUUCCAUGAUUGAAUAUUUCAGUUUGGCAAAACUUUUCAUACAUUUCUAUGGAUUUUCACUGUCAUAGAAACAAAAAAACGUAACAAGGAAAGAAGACGAUGUCCCUUCAUAGGAUUGCAUGGAGGUAACAGAGAUCCAUGUCUUGAAAACGUGGGAAAGAAAGGAGCACGCAAUUGAAAACAAACACCUCAUAAAACUUACACUAGUGCAUACUACGUCGUAAGAACAUCUACAACCGAACCCAAAUGUGACCCCUACACGUCCGUGGAUGCGUCCACAGACAGCGACCGGUCACCCCUUAUAUCUCCGCGUCCUCUUCCGUCCCCCUCAAAUCCAUGCUAACAACAAAACGUCAUCAACAUUUUAUGUAGAAACAAUUUGAACAUAGCAGUAUAAAAACAUAUAUAUUGGGAAUGGCAAGUUUCAUACAAUCGGACACAAAAUGUCCAUCAUCACCUAGAUAUGAUAAGCCUAAACAAUAGAUAAACUCCUACAUGUAGGCGUUGGCUGUCGGAGGGGAUUUGUCGUUGUCCUCGCUCAUCAUGCCGCUGACAUAGGACAGCAUCGAGGAGAUGAUCCCGACCAGACGCCGGACGGCGCAGGCCUGCUCCUUGGUGAGUCGGGCGGCUCUCGUGAGGUUCCUGAAAUCGUCGAUGUCGAGCCAGAGAGCCUUUGCAGUUUUCCUACGUCGGGCAUCCAUCUCUGCUGAUGUCAAUUUUCAGAGGCUGACAUCACGGAGGAGCUCCUCCUCCAGGUCAACCAGCGUGGACCUACAGAAUUCGCAGACACUGCAGGAGGAACCAGCAUUCUCACAGACCUACUGCCUAGCACGGCCGGCUCGCGCCUCUCAUUUGUACGUCCUCCUUGAAAGCUCGUGGUGCGGGAACAAGCAUCCUGCUCCAACCGGGAGGAGCGGAGCCCAAAGUGGUAGAGUAGGGUCACAAAGGGCGAUGGAUCUGGACCGGUGCAAACCGCGACGGGCUGCAUUGCCUCGUCGGCCAACGGGAUAGAAGGCAGAGCUCAAAUUCCUACCCCUGUCCAUCCAUGACCGGCGGAGCGAGGCGCAUGCAAAGGGCGAGUUCUCCUCAUCAUCCAGAUCCGAUUGCGGCAAGGCAUCCCAGUCGAUGGGCUUCGCCUCGUUGCUGGAUCCGCCACUGAAAUCGCUGCCAGAAUCAACCCAUAUGGUAGCCUGAGAAGAGGAAGCAAUGGAGAUGGGAGCGAACAUGACUGGAGUGGAAGGGGAGAGAAGAAGCCAGCACUGAGCUAUGUUUGCACCCUAGUGGAGAUGGGUCGGGCGAGCACGAACGGGUCCAAUAUGACGGCCGCGUCAGGGAGUGUCGAUCUACCCCAGACGAUAGGGCUAACUAUGUGGGGUCCGGUUGGGUGGCAAUUAUGGGCUGAGUAGUGACCGGGCUGUCCGCCCAUACGUUUGGGAGGAUAUGAGUGCUCCUUUGUACAUGCUUUAAAUCUGGGCAUGAGAAGCCGCACCUGCCGGUGCCUAUGCUGGGCUUGUCCCUCUUAGCUGGAAAGCCCCAAAAAGUCAAGGACCUUAUUUUUGGGAUUUUAUAUGAGAAAUAGGUAUGGUAUUGUAUCAAUUUGUCCUAAAAUAAUUCUUUUAUUAUAUUUAAAUAAAAAUAUAGCCAUUUUCGUGGCCAAGCGAGGUGGGAUAAGACCCGGGCUCGGAAUUUUCAGGCCGGGAUCUAGCAGGUCCGUCAGUUUUAAUCAAUUUAUUUCUUUUUCAGUUCUAAGCUGUUUUAAGUACCUGGUCAGCAAUCUCUAACCAAUGAUAAGAUAACAAGACUAGGCCUACUAUCAAUUUUCAUAGUCAAUUGUGUCCCUGGUCACAUUACUCCAAUCCAUCUAUAUUUAUGCGUGCUCAUAACCAGUUCACCUUGUUUGAAAUAAGCCCAGUUAUGUUUCCUUUUUGCAAGAAAGUACCGCAUUUAUAUUAAAUGACUUCCAACAUCCCGGAAAACAGAUCGUCGACGUGGUCCAGUGCAUCACAGGUGGCAACAAUGAACUGAAAGAAAUUGCGAAAUUUAAGGUAGUUGUUAGUGGCAGGAUCUAGUUUGAAGGUGAUCUAGGAAUGGAUGUUGGUUUUAUGGACGGUAUGGGGGCCUAGAGUUAGGAAAAAGGAUUGAGAGGGUAAUAGAGAGAGCACCAGCUACAGUAUUGAGGGCACCAUGGAGCUGAGAAACUGGGAGAGGUUUAACACCCUCUGGUUCUGAAGAAGAAGAAAAAUAAUACCACAAGCCUGCAAAGUAAACCAACAUAUAGAAUUAAGAAGCAAUUUAACAAUACUUAGUGGGCAAUCUCCGUGACAACCAUCAAAAUAUUGCUAUGCUGUUAAGGAAUUAUUUCUUUGAAUAAGCUUGGUACUAGUUGUAAUAGUUGCAUGUUGUCUAAUAUGUGACGUUAGUAAGGAAUUGCGUCAAGCAAAUUAUAGCAUCUUAAUUAUCAUAUUACCAAGACCUGAAGAUAUAUACAACCUUGAAGCCUUAAGAGCUAGAGCCAUUGCCUAUUUUUUCUUAGAAAUUGGGCCAACCCUGUCGCGUACGGAUUUAUUUAGUAGUAAUUAUUCUGUAUAUUUUCAUGGAUAUAUAGGAAUAGGCAGUGUAUAUGUGGAGUGCACACAAUCUUGUUCAACUUUUCUUUGCUGGAAGUAAGCUGUUUUAAGUACUUGGUCAGUAAUCACAAAUCAAUGAUAAGAUCGUAAGACUGGGCCUACUAAUAUAAUCCCUCCGUCCCAAAAUUCUUGUCUUAUAUUUGUCUAGAUACGGAUGUAUCUAAUACUAAAAUGUGACUUGAUACAACCGUAUUUAGACAAAUCUAAGACAAGAAUUUUGGGACAGGGGAGUACUUUCAAAGUCAACUGCGGCCGCUAGUCAGAUGUGUACCACAAGACAGUUACAUAUAUCAUGCUCAGCACGAGUUCACAUUGUUUUAAAAGCAACCCAGACAUAAGUAUGAGUGUUAGUUCAAACAUAUUUGUAAAAGAACACUCGUUUAUACACUUUAGGAGUUAAUACAUUCAUGAGUGGUUUUUUCAUCAUGUAACUGGCACGGAGUGUUACUGAAUAUAACUUUAUUAUUUAUUACAUUUCUUAGGAUUCUUCCUAUCAUGAAACUAGCGGUACUGCCUGCUCAGUUGCGCGGCAAGAUUUUGAUUUGUCAUUUUAAAUUUGGAAACUAUAUUUUGGCAUUUUAAAUAUUUCUUAACACUUUGUAAAUAUGCAUUCUUGUAAUUACCUAAUUGCGAAUGAGGAAUUCAUCAGCAAAGGAAUGCCAAGAAAUAGUCGGUCCCACAAAAAAGGCUGAAAUUAAGUGUUUUUACUAAAAGACAUUCAAUUAGAACAUAUCAUGUAAGAAGGCCUAAAUUCAUCCAUACAUACGCAUUAAGUAUACUUGUGGGGUUAACAAUUUUAAGCAUGUAUACAUGUACAUCUAUUAUCUAUUAUAUAAUUAAGACAAGAGGCAAACAAGCCAUCACGUUCGUCCACAUAUGAUAAUAUUUUGUACACCGUUUCAUUAGAAUAAUAACGGUUGAGAUUUAAAGAUUCUUACGUAACAUCGUAAAAUAGAUGUGCCAGUACAAUUGAACUGUCAUGUUGUCAUGUUAUAUGCAUGUAUAAGCAUUAGGUAUGUAAAAAGAAGAAAAAAAGAGUAAAAAGACAUAUUGGUUUGUCGCGUUACAUGUACCGUCACGUAAAAGAGAUGGACACAGAAGGGUGCAAAUAACCAUGACGUGCACACAUGUACAUACAUGAAUAAGAGUUCUAGGAAAACUAAAGAUGAAAGUAGGGUCACGUGAGAAUUAGAAAGGGAAACCUAGGGGACGAAACUAGAACGUGAAGGCAGACUUCAACUUGGACACGUACAUGUUCUCAAAAAAAAAAAACUUGGACAUGUGCAUGUAACGGAGAAAAAAGCUUUGCAUGAAGGGUAUUCACUGGAAAAGAAUAUGCAUAUGUAAAUCUACCAACUUACAAGGAAACAUACUAAAAAGUCUAGCGUUCUAACGCAUAGCAUAAAAACCUUAUACUCUAUACUGUUACACAACAAAAAAUCAGCUAUUAGGCUCAAAUUAAAAUUUAACCGGUAGAACUGCACAUGCAAUUCAAACUAAAUAUAUUAUUGGUAAUUAGUCAUUCGCUAAUUUAUGAGAAGACGCUGCAAGACAACAAUAUAUUACCGAUUUUAUAUGAAUAUACACCAAUAGUUUUUUUUAAAAUAUACACCAACAGUUCUUAGCCUUAUAUGGUCAGGCUACAUAAACAAUUAGAGUACGAGGACUUUGUCAAGAACAUUUAGAAGCAUGUGUCGAAAGCCGAUAUCGAUGAUACUGCACUAUCUAUAAAAGGAAUGCACAACAAAUAGAGGUACACAACAUAAAUCUUACAUAUUUAAUUGAUGAUGAAAUGAUUUGGCGUGGUAAGAAUCUAAGAUAGGUGUAAUUGGUCACCUUUCGUCGGGCAUCGGUGGAUGUCGAAAGGAUUUCAACCUAAAAGACACACAUUUCAAGUAUAAUAUUUUUUGUAUUUAAAAAUCACAUAUCAGUGGCAAUGUGGCAUUCGACUUAACAUUUAUGUGUUGGAGGAAAUAGCGACUAACCAAGAGCAGUAGAAAUGUGGAAUUUGAUUAGUGUUAUGGGACAAGCGGCUAGCUUGGUAAGCUACCAACAAAAAAUUGCAAUCAAUGAUUAGUGUUAUGGAAUUAUAUGGCUUAGUAUUGUAAGGUGCUGAUCUCCAUGACAUAGCACACUUGAAAGAAGUAUUGUUAAACUGACGAUUCCAAGGUCUUAUGGCUUUCUCGGAGAUGCACAUUUUGGUCAUACGUUACUAUAUAAUAUAAAAGUUGGUGUUGAAAACAAUACUACAUAACAAUUAGACUCGAAUGAAUGAUAGAGAAUAUUUUACCAAAAGAAGAAAUCAAGCAUUAAUUAAGGAAAAAUCUGUGUCCUGCCUUUUUUUUGUUUUGAAAUCCGGUUAUAUUCAAAUAACUGGGCAGUGGGCACCAUUAGAACUGAACAAGCCCUGGACAGCCCAAGCGAGAAUAUUGUAUCAACUUUAACCAUGAAGUGGCUUUGAUAGUUACCUCACAAUGAGAAGAUGUACAAGCAUAUAAACGUAUAUAUGGAUAUAUGACAUGUAUUUAUAAGAACACAUGUGCAUAAACAGACGGUGUAUUGCUACAAGCCAACAAUUAAUGUUUAGAUUUUAUUGACAAAAAUUCUACAAGAAUAUUUGGUGAAAAGAUAAAUGAAAAUGGAUUUGAGAAGGUGGAAUAGUGAAAGCCACGUAUUAGUACAAAAUCAUAUGGUUUUCCAUGGUGGGACACAUGCCUUGGUUCUGUCUAUCUUUGAUUGCCAUAAUAACCCAGUCUGUACCAACAUCUUUAUACAUAUUACAAAAAUAUACGAUGUGAACUUUGGUGAUGAUUUAUAUAGAUAUAAAAAAAAUGUAAUUGGUUAUAUAAAUAUUUAUAUAAUGACAGAUCAAAUAAAAGAAGAUACAUAGAGAAAUAACAGCACAAAACAUAUAAUAUAAAUAAAGGAAGUCUAGCCGCGCAAACGCGCGGGUCACUAUAUAUAAAAUAGCUGGGCAACUAAGUUUUGGUGAACUUAUUGUGGAAGUACAUGUCGUCCCACGUUAUAUGAAGUGUGUGGUCGUUCUUGUCAUUAAGUAAGGAUACCCAUUCAGAGCAGGAUGCUUUAUGGCUAAGCUCCUAUAUUACUGCCGGCCCAAGUUGAUGACAGAGAAACUCCUGAUCAAACAAGCUGAUAUACGGGAGCACAUCACCUUGUCGAUGCUAUGGAGGAACUUGACGCCGAGACCGCGAUUAGUCAUCGCUUGAUCAAUAUCUGCGAGGAACUUGAGCUGCUACCCAUACUUGGUGACAGACAUGGUGCUCUCCUUGAGCAUGUGGUACUUGACGCUAAGACUGAUGAUGUGUGCGGAGUUAUUGUUGAGGAAGUACUGGUGGAGGCGAUUCCAUGCCGACAAGGCAAUGCCGUCAUUGGACAUCGCAAGUCCAGAAGACCAUCGUCGAUCAUGGUAUAGACCCACAACAUGAUCCUGAUGUCAGCACGCUGCUACUCGGGGUCAUCAAUUUCAAGUUCAGAUGUUGAAUAAUGUGGUUGAGUUCGGAGGCGGGGAGGACGAACCAGAAGAAAUGCACCAUUUAUGGUAGUUGUUGACAACUUGGGUCGAGUUUAAAGGUGAAGUAGGACUGGAUGUUGGUAUUAUGGACGACAAUCGGGCAUGAAGUUUGUAAAAGGGGUUGGGAGGUAAGAAGAGGGAGUAGAAGAAAUAGUGGCGACGGGCGCCAUGGCAUCAACAGAGAAACAUGGAGAGGUCUUGGGGGUUUGCGCCAUAAGUGACGUGGUGCUGGAGUUGGUCUGGCUGUUGUUCACUGGUGUUACCAAGCUGAACUCAGUAAUAUGUAUUGUUUGCCUCAAGGUUUACAAGUGUAAAUGUGCACAAUAUAUAGAGAAAGGUCACAGAGAGAGGCCUAACUAACUUCAACANNNNNNNNNNNNNNNNNNNNNNNNNNNNNNNNNNNNNNNNNNNNNNNNNNNNNNNNNNNNNNNNNNNNNNNNNNNNNNNNNNNNNNNNNNNNNNNNNNNNNNNNNNNNNNNNNNNNNNNNNNNNNNNNNNNNNNNNNNNNNNNNNNNNNNNNNNNNNNNNNNNNNNNNNNNNNNNNNNNNNNNNNNNNNNNNNNNNNNNNNNNNNNNNNNNNNNNNNNNNNNNNNNNNNNNNNNNNNNNNNAUGGGCUCUAGUACAACACGGUUGAGUUACAACAGUACAUACAUAUGGUGCGUAGAUGUUUAAUAAUAUUGAUUUGAAUUCAUGUAUGACGGGGUAACAAAUGGCAAAGAUUAACAAUAACAUUAGACUGCCUGCAAUAGGAAUAUCAUACUAGCUAGUAUCAUGCACGACAACUAAGCAUUUUUUAUGAGGUGAAUAUAAAUGAAGAAAAAAAGAGUCCAGUAUUAUAUCAUGAUAUCGUAUCAUAAUAAAUGUUAUGCUCCUAUGUGUCAUACAUAACAACAAAUAAGGCCAUAUCUAAGAUACUAAUACACGAUAUUAUGCAUUAUAGAGGUAAUAUGAUAGAAUAGUAUCAUAUGCAUGAUAUGAACUUAUGAUAUGUACAACUCAUUACGGGAGCCUUAGCCACGCAAAUGUAUGGGUCAUUUUGCUAUAAAUGAUCCUUCUGACGUCAAACUGCACGCAUUAUUGCACAGAUCACUUGCGUAGAAUUUAGCACAAAAAAUAUUGGUGCGCAGGGUAUAUGCUAUAUCAAAGUCAACCACAGUUAAUUAAGUGACACGAAUAAGAACUAGCUGUAUUCGCAAAAAAAAUGAAUAAGAACUAACUAGGUUUUCUUAUUAUUUUAUUGGCGGUGUAGUACUAGCUAUCCAGCUAUGGCUAUCCUCGCAUUGGCUCCCUAUAAAUAGCAUCCUGCUCCCUCAUAUGGACAUGUACCAGUUAAGCAGCCAGCUAGCUCAUCUCCAUUGCAUCUGUUCUUGCUCUAUUCUCCAUUAGAACCUCCCAAUUCAUCAAUGGCUUCAUCUCUGAAGGUGGCCGCUGUCGUCGCGGUUUGCAUCCUGCUUGUCCUGAACAUGGGCCAGCCGGCGGCAGCCACAGAAUGUGAAGAUUGUCUAGGCGCCUGUGUUGGCAUCUGCAUCGCCUACGCUGAAACAUCAUGCACCGGCAUAUGCACCGCCAUAACUCCUGCAUGUCAGGCAUGUAAGGACGCGGCCUUAAUUGAGUGCGGUGCAACAUGCUAUGGCGGUUGUACCCUCCUCUGCUAAACCACCGGCCGGCUGUGCCCUGUUGCUCGCCGUAAGCUAGGUGCAUGCUUGUGUUCGUUGUUACUUCGUUGUUGCUAUUAUAAGCCAAAUAAGCGAACUAAUGCCGUUGCUGUGUGCAUGUGGCAAAAGUUCCUUCGUUUUAUUGUUCCACCUCGUUUCAACCAUCAGUAAAUAUACUUGUGUGCAAGUUGUGUAUGUUUUGUGCUUCUUCGUACAUAUCAUGUGUCCAAUGUGUUGUCAUACUUAAACAAUAGGGAUAUAUCCUUAUCAAGAGAACGCAGUUCCAAAGUAUGUAGUUUCGCUUCCCUCACGGUAGGGUUUCUUCUUUCACUCAGCGCCUCAUAGUGGCGUAAAGAUUGCAUCUAAUUCCUUCACAACUUGUCUUCUUCCAGCAUAAAACUCCGUCCUAAAUUUUCUAUGAUUUUUCUUGUUCACCGAAAAUACUAGUUUCCUUUGCUGUGCUUGAUCGUUCAUGAAUUAUUCCAACUAGUUCCAUGCAAGACUAGUUUAAGACCAUGGACGGAUUAAUGUUAAGUGGUAGCUUAUUAUAUUGAUGCCAACUCCAUUAUAUGUAGAAGGGUUGACACCAUGGGCCCGCAAAGUAAACCAAUAUAUGGAAUUAAGCAUGCAAUUUAGGAAUACUUAAUGUGUAGUCUCCGUGGUAGCGACCAAAAUAUUGCAAACAGCGAUUUUCUAAUGCUAAGGAAUCAUUACUUUGAACAAGUUUCUCGGUGCUAGUUGCGUGUAGUCUAAUACGUAGUGGCAUUCAUGAGGAAUUGUGCCAAUCAAUGGAUAAUAUCUUAGUAGUCGCAUAUUACUCCGUCCAUUUGAAAAUACUUGUCGAAGAAAUGAAUAAAAAUGGAUGUAUCUAGAAGUAAAAUACGUUAGACACAUCCAUUUCAACGACAAUAUUUCUGGACCGCUCAUUGAUAUGGUCUAAUCUAGCAAGAACUACUAUUACAAGUACUUCGCAGCUACGUGCACCUGCUUCAUCGAGCAGGUUUACAUUCGCGGGGUGGGUAAUAAAAUGAGCGGCCCUGGUGUGCCCUAGUCGUAGUUGCCGACAUGCAUGGGUCAGCCGCUACGUACUUUCUUGCGUGUAAAGAGUGACCAAUGACACAGAUUGCGUGUAAAGAGUGCCUCUCAGCAGAAAAGCCCCCAAAAUCCCAUGAGACCUUAUUUUUGGGAUUUUAUAUGAUAACUAUGUAUGAUACUGCAUCAAUUAAUCACAAAAUAAUUUAUUUAUUAUUUUUAAAUAUAAAUAUAACUAUUUUGUGCCCAAGGGAGGUGGGGUCAGACCCUGGCCUCGGCAUUCUCAUACCGGUUCUGGCAGGCCCAACCAUUUUAACAUAUUUAUUUAUUUAUUUAUUCCGUGACUAAGCCGUUUUAAGUACUUGGUCAGCAAUCUCUAACCAAUGAUAAGAUCACAAGACAAGGCCUACUAUCUAUCUUCAUAGUCAACUGUGCCGCUAGUCACACUACUCCAAUCCAGUUAUAUUGAUGCGUGCUCAUCAUCAGUUCACCAUGUUUUAAAGCAACCGAGUUAUCUUUCUUUUUUGCGUGAAAGCUCCGUCUUUAUAUUAAAAUACUUCCAACAUUCCGGAAAAAAUAUCGUUGAUGUGGUUAAGAAGCAAUUUAACAAUACUUAGUGGGCAAUCUCCAUGACAACCAUCAAAAUAUUGCUAGCUAGUUUUCUAAUGCAAAGGAAUUAUUGCUUUCAAUAAGCUCGGUACUAGUUGCAUUGUUGUCUAAUAUGUGACGUUGGUAAGAAAUUGCCUCCAGCAAAGGAUAACAUCUUAAUUAACAUUAAGAGCUAGAGCCUUGCCUAUUUUUUCCUAGAAACUGGGCCAACGUUGUCGCGUACGGAUUAAUAAAGUAGUAAGUAUUCUGUAUUUUCUCAUUGAUAUAUAGGAAUGGACCAGUGUAUAUGUGGAGUGCACACAAUCCCUUGCUGGAACUAAGCCGUUUUAAGUACUUGGUCAGCAAUAUCAAACCAAUGAUAAGUACACAAGACUGGGCAUCCUUUAUAACACUAAGCUCCCUAGUUUUAAUGAGCGUACAUUCAAUUGAGGUUUCCAGUUAAAAUUGAGUCCCGAUUUUGACCGAGUCAACAAUUUCUCAAAGCCCCAUGAUUCUAUUCUUUUAUUGCUUUCUAAUUUUUUAGGCCUCACAACUAAUUGAUGUAUUAAAUUUAGAAUUGGGUCAUCCAAAUUUGAUCGAGUCAACAAUUUCUCAAGCUCACACUUUCAAUUCUUUUCAUUCACCAUAUUCCAAAAUUUUGAAGCUCUCAUUCAAUUGAGGUAUUCAAUUUUGAUUUGGUUUACUGUUUUGACUGGUCCAACGAUUUUUCAAAUCAAUCAACAACAACCGACCUAUAAAAACAUAUCAAUCCUCCGCACCCUCCCACCACCUAAAAGAAGCAUCGUCAUGUGAUACUAUAGCAUCAAUAUAGUACAUGCAAUCAUCGACACGGAAAUGUCCACACAUAAUUAUAGGUUGUUUAGCCAAUAACACGGAAUCACACCAUGAAAGGCGCACCAAAUCACCGCAUUAUAAGUAAAAAUAAACCACACUAUCAUCUCUUCCACCCGCCAAACUAAAUAUUCCAUCAGCUAUAAAAUAUAAGGGGUCCCCAACACGCACGAGGAUUAGCCCCCGCGUCGUCUUCCUGGCGGCUCGGGGGAGAAAAAACCCUAGCCACCGCGACUCCUCCCCCUCCCCUCCUAGUCUCGCCGCCGCCGGAGGGGUCGCCCUGGAAAAGGCCGGGCGGCCUUGAGGAAGCUGGCGGCGGGGCAACGAUUCCCUUUUGGUGGCGCGAGCAUGCGAGAGCUCCGCGCGCGGCAGAGGAGUUGCGGACGGCGGCAGCCACCGCCACGGGACGGGAAAAGCACGGCGAUCCAGUUGGCCUGGCGCUGCGGGCGCACCAUGCGUGGCGACGGUGUGGCCUAUGAUCUCCUACUUGGCGGCUUGGAUCUGGGGCUUCUGAUCUGGGUCGGGCAUCCAGGUUGGGGCUUUGCCUGGUGUCACGGUGACGGCUACUCUGCUGCGUGCUGGCCUGUUGGUGGUGGCCGGCCAGGAGGCGGCGGUGGAUCUGGCUUCAGAUCUAUCCGGUGGCAAGUUUGGAGUGGCAAGACUUUCAGAGAAAACCAAGCCUCAACUACGGUCAUGGUGGACGAUGGCGGCGUCUUUUGGCGUCGUUACCUUGUCGAAGGCAUCGUCAUAGCAAGUCGCGUCACUCCUUUCGGCCUGCUCUGGGGGAAACCCUAGAUCUGUUGUCAUGGAUCGGGCGAUGGCGACGUCAGGCACCGCGCUCCUUGCUGGGGGCAUCGUUUUGGAGCAGGUACCGACUUGGGUGGACAGGUGGUGGAGCGGCGUGGUAUCUAUCGCUCAUCAACGACUGGUCUCGGCGGCGUGGCGCAGCGGGGUCUCGCUGACAGAUGCGAGAUGAUGGACGCCCGCAGGGGGGCGGCGCUGUCUGGCGUCAUGGUGGUGUCGACAGCAGCUAGACCCGGCGAGGUAGAUGCAAUAGUACAUCACUGAAAAUGGAUUGGUGGCAGGUGGCUGCGACGGCCUCAUACCUGGUAGGCGUCCUGGUUGAGGAGUACGCCGGACUGGUGGGUGCCCCAUACCCGGCAGACGUCCUCGUUGGGACCUCAGGUCUUAGAUGUUUGGUUUGGUUGUGAGGUAUGUUUGUUAUUAGGCCCAGACUAUCAGCAUCCCUUCAUCAACUGGAUUGGAGUAAUGACAGAUGUUGCCUAGACGGUGACUUUAGUCUUACUAUUGUAUGACUUUGUAAGGUCUUAUGUGAAUAAUUAAUAAAGUGGAUGCAUGCAUCGUCCAGAUGCAGAGGCCGGGAGUCCUUCUCCUUUUCUAAAAAAUAUAAUAAAAUAUAAAGGGUAUUAGGUUUUUAGAAAGACAAAUUUCUUUAGCUUUGACCAAGUUUAAAGCAAAACAUCGACAUCCACAAUAUUAAACAAAAAAAAAGUAUGGAAAUUCAAUUUUUUUUGAUGAAUCUGAAAAUACUGAUUUGAUAUUAUGGAUUUUGAUAUAUUUCUUUACAAAUUUCAUCAAACUUAAAAGGUUUGACUUUUCAAAAACAAUAAUACAUCUUAUAUUUUGAAAAGUGUGAUUAUUUUUUUAACAAAACCAACAAACACGAAAGUAUAUUUUGGUAUAUUAAAUAUAUAUUUUUGCUUUGAAAAUAUAUAUUUGUUGUAGUCACCUUGUUUUGUAUGAGGAAUUCAUCAGCAAGGAGUGCCAAGAAAUAGUCAGUUGUACUAAAAGCUGAACUUUCAAUGCUUUUAAUAGAAAGAACAUUCGUACAUAUUAUUUAAGAAUGCCUAAAUUGAUCCUAUGCAUGUAGUAAGAACACCUGCGGUGUUAUAUUAUUAAGUAUGCAGAUGUAGAUUAUAGGAUAAUUGGACAACUAAGUAUUCGGGAUUACUCUGGAAAUACACAGUAUGAUCUUCAUAUCGUUAUACGAAGUGUGUAUAGCCCUUUUUACUAGUGAGUAAGGGUGCUCAGUCAGAUCAGAAUGCUUUAUGGUCGAACCCGGACUGCCAACAGGAGUUGAUGACUGAGAAAUCUUCGAUUAAACAAGGUAAUCAUGAGCACCCAUAAUCUUGUCGGUGUCAUGGAGGGAACUAGAGGAAGAGAUUCCGAUCAGUCGUGGCCUCAUCAACUUCAGCAAGGGAAUCACCGAGGAACUUGGACUAUGAUGCAUACUCAGCGACCGACAUGGUGCCCUGCAUGAGAAUGCAGUACUUCCUGUUAAGAUGAAUGGCGUGGGUGGCAUUGUUGUUGAGGAAGUACUGGUGGAGGCGAGUCCAUGCUGAUAAGACAAUGUCGUCGGAGGACAUUGCCAGGUCCAGAAGACUACCGCCGAUAGUUGUGUAGAUCCAACAGAAGAUCCCGGUGUCGGUACAUCGCAGCUUGGGAUCGUCGACGUAAAGUUUGAACGUCAUGUUAAUGUGGUCGAGUACAACGCCGUAACGCAGGUGGAGAGGAUGAACAGCAAGAAAUCAGACGUUUAUGAUAGUUGUUGGUGGGUGGGUCCAGUUUGAAAGGGAUGUAAGAGUGGAUGUUGGUAUUGUACACGGCAAUGGGGGCCUGAAGUUUGAAAAAUUAAUUGGGAGGGUACGAAGAGAGAGUUGAAGCAGUGGUGAUGAUGGGAACCAUGGCGCCGACAGAGAAACUAGGAGAGGUCUGCAAGGUUUGCGCCAAAAGGGAGGUGGCACUGGAAUUGGUCUGGGUGUUGCUCAAUGGCGAGCAGAUGGCUCUGAUUACAAAGGUGAAUUAUAUAAUGCUUGCAUCCAGGUUUACAAGUGUCGAUGUACAACACAUCAGAUAAUGAAUAGAGAGAGCCCUAACUAACUGCAACAUACGGAAAAAGGCACCCACAGGUGCACGAGAGAUCUUCGAUCCUAACCUCUAAGGACUAUGGUACAACACGAGCUUUGCUAUACCUGCGGGGGCUCGUGUGGGGAGGGGGUUACGUAAUGUUUUGCCAAUUUCUAAUUGUUCAUUGGUGGGGGCGUGGGGCCCAUCCUAAAAUUCAGGGGUGUGUUUGAUUAGUUCAGAAUGAAGUUACGUAGGAUGCAUUACGUAGUUCUAGCAUGUUUGGUAGUACGGGUACAACGGUACAUACAGAUGAUGCAUUGUUUAACAAUAUUAAAUUGAAAUCAUGUACUACAAGGGUUAGCAAAUGGCAAAGACUAACAAUUCUCAUGUCAAAGUGCAAACAUUCAAUCAUUGGUGCACAAUGAACAUAUGAUAUUGAAGUCAACAACAGUUAAAUUAAACAAUAUGGAUCGCACUCAAAAAAUAUUUAAGUGAUACAGAUCAGCAAAUUUGCUAGUUCUGGUUUUUUUUUUGUGAGGUGGAGAAAGAAUGCUAGCUAGCUAGCUAGCUAGUUCUGGGUAGUCCUCACGUUGGCUGCCUAUAAAUAGCAUCCUGCACCAUCAUAUGGGAAUGCACCAGUUAAGCAGCUAGCUAACUCAUCUCCAUCCAUCGCAUCUCUUCUUCCUCAAUCCUCCACUAGAACCACCCACCCAAUUCAUCAAUGGCUUCAUCUCUGAAGGUGGCCGCUGCCGUCGCCGUGGCCGUUUGCGUCGUGCUUGUGCUGAACAUGGGCCAGCCUGCGGCAGCCACAGAAUGCAAAGAUUGUCUCGCCGACUGUGUUGACGUUUGCGUCGACUACUCUGACACUGCGUGCAGUGGCAUCUGCACCGCCAAACCUCCUGCAUGCCAGUCAUGCAAGUACACGUCCUUCCUUACAUGCGGUGGCACAUGCUACGGCCCCUGUGCCCACUUCUGCUAAAGCCUAUAGUGGCUGUAAGCUGUCUGUGUGUGUUGGUACCUCGUUGUUGCUAAGCCAUGUAAAUAAGUGAACAAAUGCUAUUGCUCUGUGCAUAUGGCAAAUGUUCCUUCGUUUUAUUGUUCCCCUUUGUUUCAACCAUCAGUAAAUAUACAUGUAUGUGUGCAAGUCAUGUACUCCUAUAUAUGCUUUCUGCUUCUUUCUAUCAUGUUUCUGACCUGCUCAUGCUGGGGUGGAUAUCAGGUGAUACCACCUAUUACAUGCUCCCAUGCUAAAAAAAUUAAAAAGUCAUAGUUAGAUGUUUCAAAAAAAUUGAAAACAAUUAUGGAUGUUCACAAGACAUACGCCUAUAACCCCUAAAAAUUCAGAUCAAAAUUCGAAAUAUACAUUGAGAAACAAAAAGACAAAUCUAUAUGUCAUGUUUUGUCUUCUUUUACACUAUUCAUUCUAGAUUUUUCAUUUUUGUUUCUCAAUAGGUAUCUCAAAUUUGGGUCAGACUCUUUUAGGGGUCGUAGUCAUAUGUCUUGUGAACAUCUACAAAGUUUUUCAGAACAUCUAAAUGUGAUUGAUAGCUAGCAUAAAUAUCCAUCCAUGAUAGAUCCUUCUUCCUUCCACUCCGCCAUCAUGGAUUGGACUUGGCUUUGGCUUUGGGGCUGGUUCAUCUGAAGUGCUCCCAGACAUAGAGCUCUGACCUAUUUUCCUAAGAAAUUGGACCAAUGUUUUCAUACUGACGAAUUUAGGAAUAGUUCUGCUGCAUUUUGUUCAUUGAUAUAUACGGAUAGGGCAGUGUAUAAGUGGAGUACUUCGCUGAUGCCAGCAAGUUAGUAACCAUCACUUACACGCGUUAACAAAUUCUUCUGUAACAAGUAGUUUAAUAUCAUUCACAAAUUAAUGUCAAGUGGUAGUAGCUUCUUCUAAUAAUGUCAACUCCAUUCACCAAUCAUUCAGGAUCAUGACAAAUCAAAGAAGGUUCCACACCUUCAUAAAUUUGGCGCCACCUUUUACCGAUUAUAAAGAUCCAAAUUUCAGCGAUUGUGUUGUGGAUGCUCUUAAUCUUGUAUUGUUUCAUCCAUUGACACACCCAUUCCGUAAAUGAAACGAUUGAAACAACUUUUAAUAUUAGAGUUAGUGAUGACAAAUUCAUGAAAUUUAUUUUUUAGGGUGUUUUAAAAUAAAAAACAAUGUGUCCUUACCUGAGCAUUUUUAAGUGAUUUUGGGAAGUGAAAUCACACAAGAACACUGUGUGAGAGCCGAAAAUAAAAAAGAAAUGUAAAAGAGUUAGUACAUCGGGCCUGCGUGACCAUCUCCAUGGUACAGCUAGGCUACUGCUGGAGAACGUUUCCCACAGCGCUUACAAGCCCUAAUAUCUACUCCUCCAUCCAGAAUUACUUGUCGCAUAAAUAGAUGGAAAUGAAUGUAUCUAGAAUUAAAAUACAUCUACAGACAUGCAUUCUUCCGACAAAUAUUUUCGGACGGAGGGUGUAUCUUGGGCCAGUGACCAGCAACAUCAGAUAGCAUUAGUUAUCUUCUCUCCUUUCCAUAAAGGGAGGAAUGAUCGGGCCAAGGUCGCCUAAUUUUGCCAUGGCCUCUAGCCAACCACCCCAUCGGGCGUAGCCAAGCCAUGAACGCUUCUCUUCUCUCUUACCGGAGCCUGAUUUUUAGGCUAAGUAUCGUAACUAGUAUCAGACAUGCCGAUUAUGCAAUUUUAAUGAGGUGGCAUAGAAAUCUAUAAUACUAUGCAUUACGGAGGUAGUAUCAUACACUAGCAUAUGAUACUAAUAUAUGAUACUCCCCACUACAACCAGCCUAAGUAAUCAGGUGCUCCAAAGUGAAAAUGUGUGUCUAGUGUGCAUAAUAAAGUGCCUAGGUGGACAAUACAUGCAUGUCCAUCCUUGGGCAGCAUAGCAGCCAACCCUACCCUACCACAUGCUGGCAAUUGUUUAUUAUGUUGAUCUCAUGUCAGUGUGGCCAUGCGAGUGUUAAUUAAGUAUUACUAAUACUUGUCGUUCAAACGGAUGUAUUUAGAAACAAAGUGAGACCUUCAUCUCGUGAGAAAGACCGCCGAUGGCUACCGGCCAUCGCCCUCGCGCCAGGAAGAGUACGUUGCCGUGCAGUCCGCCGACGUGGAAGACAAGUUUAUCAAGUUUAUCAAUUCUACUUGCAUAUAGUACUCCCUCUGUUUUUAUUUAGUUCGCAUAUUAGCUUUGGUCAAAGUCAAACUUUACAAACUUUCAUCAAGUUUAUUAACAAAAAUAUUAUGAUAUACAAUAACAAAUCAACAAUAUUAGAUUUAUUAUUGGAUGUACUUUCACCUCGAAUAGAUUUAUUAUGAUAAAUGUCUAUAUUGUUUUCUAUAGACUUGGUCAAACUUUACGAAGUUUGAUUUUAGUCAACUCUAAUAUGCGGAGUAAAUAAAAAUGAAGGGAGUAUAUUGUCUAAUAAGUAAUAACCUUCGUAAGGAAUUGCGCGGAUCCAAGGACACCAUCUUAAUUAGCAUACUACUAAGAUUCGAAGAUAUAUGCUAUGCAUAUUAGAUUCGCCUCAAGUCAAACUUUAUAAAUUUUGAUCAACUUCGUCCAAAAAAUUGUGAACAUCCACAAUAUGAAAUCAACAUCACUAAAUGCCGGCCUAGAGAGACACGAGAGCUUCUACGUGGCAUGCCAUCAACCUUCAACCCGGGUAGUGCGAAGUCAACCGCUCGAGCUGAUUCCAUCCAUGCACGCAUCAGGCCGACCUCCAACCGGGAUAGAUGCCCUUAAGGCAUAUACAAUGGUACUAUCUUAGAAAUGUCAUGUAGGAUAAUUACUAGGAUAAAGGAAAGAAAAACAAAUAAAAAAAGUGUUCCAUUUCUCUUACUUAUGAGAUGAUCUGUUAGCCCCAUAUCUUUUACCAUUACUCCUUGCAUAUGAGAAUAUAUUUUUAUUGCGGAUAAAACUAAGAGAUACCCCAUUCUACCCGUGAUUUUAUUAUCAUCUCUAAACUACAUGGUAGGCUUCAAAGAUAAAAUUGUUUUUUCAACCAUUGUACAUGCCUUUAGUAGGUUUUUGGCUGGGGUACCAAGUAUAGUUUUUCAAGAAAAGUCUCCUUCCUCCUUCCGCCAGCGCUGCUGCCGAUCCGCCCCACCUCCAAUGGCCCUUGGGCCGUGGAGGUGCGGAGGACCUCGGCGGGAGGGACCCCGUUCUCUUUUUCGUUAGGUUCAAUGUCUUGAUUGGAACUGUGUGGCGGUGGCGAUGUCCCUCUGUACAAAUAAUGUCACCCACGUCAUAUCCCUGUCCCAAUGGUGCGGAUAGCAUCGUCGGAGGAUGUGUGGAGGUGUGUCUUCAUCAGAUCUCGUGGAAUUCGGUCGGUGCUAGUCUUCGGUGGAUCUAGUUGGAUCCAGUUUUUGGUUAUCUUCGUUCAUGUGGUUUCAGGUUUGAUCUUUCUGAUCUGCAAGUCUCUUCAUCGGUGAUGGUUGCUGCUCUAGUGCACGGUUCUUUUGGGGCCUUGGCACGAUGACUUCCUGGUUGUCUACUAUAACAAGGUUUGUCCGGCCCUGGUGAGGCAGGGGCGAUGAUGGCGGCAAGCCUUCGGCUCGUUCCAAUGCUUGUAGUCGUUGGUAGGUGGUUCAUAGGCCUGGUUGUAAUUUUAUUACAUUUUGUGUUCUCUGUAUUGCCAUGAUUGAUGAAUGGAUUGGAAAUUUCUCUCGAGACAAAAAUUAGGUUUUUGGCUAAUAGUGAUAAAUUAUGUGGCAUGCACAUGCGGCGGUACCAUAAUCAAGGUGCCUUCACGUGCUACGUGGAUGGACAUGCAUAGCCCUACCACGUGCUAUUGUUUAAGUUGAGCUCAUGUCAACAAACACACCGCAAAUUAAUCUAGUUGGUCAAACCAAAUCAAUAGAUCGAAGAAGAAAUACAGAGCUAUAACAAUCAUGCAUAAAAGAGUUCGGAGAAAACUCAAAUAAUAUUCAUGAAUAGAUCUGAUCAUAAACUCACAAUUUAUCGGAUCCCAACAAACACACCGCAAAAAAGAAUUACAUCGGAUAGAACUCCAAGAACAUCAAGGAGAACAUUGCAUUGAAGAGCAUCAAGAGAGAAGAAGAUAUCUAGCUACUAACUAUGGACCCGUAGGUCUGUGGUAAACUACUCACGCAUCAUCGGAAGGGCAGCAAGGUUGAUGUAGAUCCCCUCCAUGAUUGAUUCCCCCUGCGGCGGAGUGCCAGAAAAGGUCCCCGGAUGGGAUCUAUCGAGAACAGAGGCUUGCGGCAAUGAAAAAGGUAUUGUGUGGACUCCUUUGUUGGUUUCCCGAUUUUCAAGAAUUUAUAGAAGCAGAGUUAGGUAAAACAAAGCUACGUGGGUCCCACAAGCUACAGGGCGCGCCCUGGUGCCUUGUGGGCUACUGCUCCAUCUUCUCAUCCCCUCCUAAAGCUUCCAGGGUCUCUUGCCAGAAAAAAAAUCUCCAAAAAAAUUUUGUGGCAUUUAGACUUCGUUUGGUACCAAAAAAUAGCAAUUAACACUAGGCACUAAGUUAAUAGGUUAAUCCAAAAAAAUGAUAUAUAGUUGCGUGUAAGUAUAUAUAAAAUAUCCAAGAUUAAUAUUAUAAUACCAUGUAACAAUAAAAAAUUAUAGAUACGUUGAAUACAUAUCAACAGAAAAGGGUUGCGGGAAGGAUAAUGCCGGGAACAUAUUGUGGAAAAGUUUUGCGGGAAAUUGCGGGUGCCGGAAUAAAAUUACGGUCCAAAAUAUGGUUCCAUUCAACCAUUGGCUGAAAAUUUUGGUCUCAUGCAGCUGUCGUCUUAGCCUAAGCCGAUUUGAACUAAUCGGCUUCAGCCUUCUCUAUUAGUACUAAUUGGCUACGGUUAAGAUGCUUAGUUCCAAUCGGCUUAGUCUAAGAUGACUAGAGCUAGUCGGCUUAGGUUAAGCCAACUGGACACUAACCAGCUACGUCGUGGCAGAUUGGAUCUAGUCGGCUUAACCUAAGCCGAUGCUGGAUUAUUUUUAUAAUAUACAAACCGUGUAUUACUUUCCAAAUUGAUUACAAAUAUAUCAUUUUAAAAAAUUAGCCUCAUUCUACCCUCAUGUUUAGGAUUUCGUUCAUUCCAGAUUGUCUUGAUAUUUUUCUUCGGUUCACACCGUCGUAUUAAAUGACAAAAACGGUCCCAAUAAUUUGGUCAUAAACAUGGGGGCGGAAUGUGUUUCCAUCUUGAAGAUGUAUGUCCUUAAGGCGUAUACAAUAGUACUAUCUCAAAAGUGACACAUAGGAUAAUAACUAGGGUGAAGGAAAGANNNNNNNNNNNNNNNNNNNNNNNNNNNNNNNNNNNNNNNNNNNNNNNNNNNNNNNNNNNNNNNNNNNNNNNNNNNNNNNNNNNNNNNNNNNNNNNNNNNNNNNNNNNNNNNNNNNNNNNNNNNNNNNNNNNNNNNNNNNNNNNNNNNNNNNNNNNNNNNNNNNNNNNNNNNNNNNNNNNNNNNNNNNNNNNNNNNNNNNNNNNNNNNNNNNNNNNNNNNNNNNNNNNNNNNNNNNNNNNNNNNNNNNNNNNNNNNNNNNNNNNNNNNNNNNNNNNNNNNNNNNNNNNNNNNNNNNNNNNNNNGCUCGCCUACUAGCGGGGAUCCAUCCGACGGCGCUGCAAGAUCCGGUGUGGUGGGCCUCUUCGCCGGCGUCGGGGGGUGGAUCCGGGGCUGCUCAGGCCGGAUCCGGCGCGUGGUGGUGCGGUGCUGAUGGCGGCGGGAUCGAGCGCGCGAGGUCCUGCUGGUCCGAUGUCUCGUGGCGGCUCGUCAUGGCUCUGUGGUGGGCGCUGGCUGGAGGAGGAGAUGCCCGACGCAGCUGGCUGGUGAUGGCGUGUCGCUGUGAAGCGCGCAGGCCGGUGGCGGCUUGGUGCUCCUCGCCGCGGAGGCGCUCGAGCCAGGCCAGAUCUGCGCUGGCUGGAGGUGAGGGCUCAUGGCCGGCGCACGACAGGUGAGGUGGUGAUGCGGAGGGCCUGACGGGGUGUGGCAGAGGAGAUGUGGCUCGAUUUGGUGGGGGCGGCGCCAGCGGGAGGCAGUGCUGGGUUCUCACGGGCAGGUUGGUGGCGCGCUGUGAUGGCUCCGUCAAGAUGGAGCCUUGCGAGCAGCGAGCGGUCGGUCAUCCCUGUGCGGCGUGGCGAGCGGCGGUGCUUUCCUGGUGAUGCCGGCCUGGGAUUUCUCCGUGGAGAGGCGGGUCUGAUUGUCGCAAGGCCGUUCCUUGGAGUGGGUGACGGCCGUCGCGGGCAGUCCUGGACCUGGCCGGAGGUGUUGGUUGGCUGCGGACCCUCGUGCAGGCUGGGAGUGGAUGGUGUGGCCGUGGUUUCCCUGCCGGGUAGUCGGUCGUUGGUCCUCGGCUAUGCAGCUACUUCGGCAAGUGCUGCGGUGGCGGCGGUGUGAGGCUUCUUGGCAGUGCUACCAAUCCCAUGGAGGCGUGGCGAUGUGCGAAGCGCGGAUGAAAAUUUUGCACGGCUUCUGCCGGGCCGGCGGUGAUGGCACCUGUGGAUGUCAUUCCCCUCCUUGGAGGCAUCGUCGAGUUUGUUCGCCCCAUCCCUCGCGCUCUCGGUGUUGGUGGAUGUCUCCGGGUGAAAGCCUAGAUUCGAUGUUCGGAUCGACACGAUGGCGGUGUCCUCGACGCCGCUCCUCUGUUGGGAGCAUUGUGUUUGGAGACAUGACUGGUUCCUCGUUGCUCUCCUCCGGUGUUCGCCGCUAUCCUUUUCUGAUCUUCAGUGGCGCUAUGUACGUUGGUCGACGGUGAAUCCAAGGCGGUGUCUUCCCGGAUUGGAUCGAGUCCUGCCAUUCAUCUGCCACUUUCUCUUAGGCGCUCAGGGUGGAUGGUGCGUCGACAAGAGAAGUUCUGCGGAAGUGUGGUCUUCGGAGGUGUCCGGCGUCGGUCAGAGACGCGGUGCUGUGUAUCAGUUUAGGAUAGGCUUUUUGCUUUGUAGCUUGCCUAGCGGUGGUGUUUGUUUGUGGUCUUGUCGGUGUGGUGUUCGUGCUACACUCGUUGUUCGCAUCGCUUUCUUGUAACUAAAUCCUGCCUUCUAUAAAGCUAUGGUACGCCUAGGCGUACUCUCAAAAAAAAAGAAAGAGAAACAAAUAAAAAAAUGUUCCAUUUCUCUUAAUUAAAAGAUGGUCUCUCAGCACGAUUUUUGUUACCAUAUACUCCUUGUAUUUAAGAAUGUUUUUUUAUUAAAGACAAAACUAGAUGAUAAUCCAUUAUAUCCACGUGAUUUUAAGUUGGUUUUUGCCUAAUAGUGCAUGGCAUGCACAUGCGGACCAUCAUGAAGCCAUGAAGGUGCCCCCUCUGGAUGAACAUGCAUGUCCUUGGGCUGGGCAGCAGCGUGCUACUGAUACUUGUUUAAGCUGAGCGUCAUCUGAGUGUGGCCAUCAGGCAACAAGAGAGAAGACCACCGAGAUCUGCCGAUGCCCGCCGUCGCGCCCGCGCCGGAGGACCAUGUGGCCGCGGACGCCACCAAGCUCGUCGCCCUCCACUUGGAAGACGAUGAGCGGCAAGGGGGCUGCUGCUGCUGCUGCGGUGCUGCGUCUUCGUCCCUGGCGAGGCGAGCCACGUCCUGGUGCCGCCGGAGCCUCGUCUCGCGCCCCGUCGUCCGCUGCGGACCGACCGAGCCGGCCGCCAAGCGUGUGCUCGUGGCCGUGGCCGCCGGCACGGAGCCGCUCGUGGCGGCCGCCGCGGCCGACAUCCUCAACCGCGCCGGCGCAAGGGUCACCGUCGCCACCGUAUCCGAGGGCCUUGUCGUGGAGGCCGGCCAUGGGGUCAGGUUCGCCGCGGACGGCAGAGUCGCCGGCCUGGAAGCAGAGGAGUUCGACCUCAUCGUCCUACCGGUACGUCCGCCUUCUCCAUGCCCAGUCAAACCAGUGUGUCAUCCUCAUCAUCAUCCUCAGUUCAUCACCACCUUUGUACGUGUUGCUGGUGGUAGGGAGGAAUGACGGGAUCAGCCAACCUUAGGGACUGCAAGCAGCUGGAGAAGAUGGUGAGGAAGCACGCGCAGUCGGGGCGCCUGUGCGGCGCCAUCGGGGCGGCGCCGGCGCCGGCGCUUGCCCGAUGGGGCGUGCUCGGAGGCUUCACGGCGACCUGCCAUCCGGACCUGCUGGGGCGGAUGGGCGACGAAGACGGGGUGAUCGCCGUGGAUGACAGGGUGGUGAAGGACAGGAACGUGGUGACCAGCCAGGGCGUCGGGACGGCCAUCGAGUUCGCGCUCGAACUGGUGGAGCAGCUCUACGGCCAACUCACGGCGGAGGAGGUCGCCGGACCUUUGGUAGGUACUACGAUCUAGCUUGUGUACAACUACUAGUAGUUGUUAGCUUAAAAGAAAAAGAAAUUACUAGUAGUUCUUCAGUUCAAUCUUUUUACUCCUUUAGUUUCAUCCGUUUGAGCGACAAGUAAUAAGGAUAGGAGUGAGUACAUAUUAUUAUCAAUAUUAAUUUGUGCAAUUUUCUUACAUAUUCAAUUACUAGCAUAUGCGCCCCCAACAAGGAGUCAAGUAUGUCAUCCAAAAGUACAACCAGAUCCAAUGGAAAUGCACUGGCACGGGUUCUUGUGCCUGUUGCCGACGGCUCGGUGGAGAUGGAGGCUCUCAACCUGAUCGAUGUCCUGCGGAGGGCAAGCGCACGCGUCACGGUCGCUUCGGUCGAGGACACGCCGCGCAUCAUGACCCGCCAUUACAAGCUCAAUCUGAUCGCCGAUGUGAUGCUGGAACAGGCUGCUAAAAUGGAGUUCGACCUCAUCGUCAUGCCGGUAAGUUCGAAUUGAGUCGAACAUUCCUUUAUUUUCUUAGAAAAUGAAGGCAAACACAGGGCCUCUGGUCGUAAAUGGUGCUCUUGGGACUACUUGAGUGACCUUGUUGUUUGUUUGUUGCAUGUGUAUAUAUAUGUACCAUAGGGUGGUCUUCCUGGUGCUCUCAAGUUCACCAGCACGGAUAAACUUGUGGGCAUGCUGAAGAAACAGGCGGAAUCUGGUAGACCCUAUGGUGCAAUAUGCGCUUCCCCUGCUUACGUCCUCGAGCCCCACGGAUUACUCAAGGUAUUUAGCCUUUUUUAUGCAAGUUUGAUGCUUCUGGCUUAUGUUUUCCGUCUUUCAUUUCUUUUUACAAAAGAUAAAGCAAUAUGGUGAUAGGCAACUUCUUCACCAUUGUAGGGUAAGAAAGUGACAUCAUUUCCACCCAUGGCGCACCUGCUUACAGACCAGAGCGCAUGCGAAUACAGGGUCGUCGUCGACGGUAACCUUAUCACAAGCAGAGCACCAGGGACCGCCACAGAGUUUGCCCUGGCAAUUGUUG
rnacentral:lncRNA from 1 species